AUUGAACGCUGGCGGCAGGCCUAACACAUGCAAGUCGAACGAGUGGCGGACGGGUGCGUAAUGUCUGGGACACUGACCGAUGGAGGGGGAUCACUACUGGAAAAGGUAGCUAAUACCGCAUACCCUCGGAUGUGCGCAGGUGGGAUUAGCUAGUAGGGGGGGUACCGGCUCACCUAGGCGACGAUCCCUAUGUGGUCUGAGCGGAUGACAAGCCACACGGGAACCGAGACACGGUCCAGACUCCUACGGGAGGCAGCAGUGGGUAAUAUUGCACAAUGGGGGCAAGCCUGAUGCAGCCAUGCCGCGUGUAUGAAGAAGGCGUUCGGGUUGUAAAGUAAUGUCAGCGAGGAGGCGUUACUCGCAGAAGAAGCACCUGCUAACUCCGUGCCAGCAGCCGCGGUAAUAC
rnacentral:rRNA from 1 species